rnacentral:rRNA from 1 species
UACGAAGGGGGCUAGCGUUGUUCGGAAUUACUGGGCGUAAAGCGUGCGCAGGCGGCCUUCCAAGUCAGGGGUGAAAGCCCAGAGCUCAACUCUGGAAUUGCCUUUGAGACUGUGAGGCUUGAGUACGGGAGAGGUGAGUGGAAUUCCCAGUGUAGAGGUGAAAUUCGUAGAUAUCGAGAGGAACACCGGUGGCGAAAGCGGCCAACUGGACGAAUACUGACGCUGAGACACGAAAGCGUGGGGAGCAAACAGG